AAAUAUUAUCUUUCACAAGGGGAAAUAAGUGUUAAGCUAUUUGUUUUGUUUGCUAUCUUUCAGGACAUAGACUUUUAAGAUAAGGCUGCAGUUACAGAUUGGUAGAUGUGCAUCAAUACACCCUCGACUAGUGACAUAUUUCACAAUGAAUGGCCCUAUAUAAAUAUGUAGACAGUUAUAAUAACGGCUUUAUCUGCGAUGGUGACGCUUCGAUAGGUACCUUAGCACAGGAUAAAAAAGUGCAUUAAACUGUAGGAAAGACCAUAACUAAGUCCUGAAAGAUAACUACAGAGUGAGUGGAGAAUCAUUUAUCUGAUACCAGUGUUGUGACUUUGAGAAGGCAGCAAAUUAGCAAGAGUUUUCGCCUUGCAGAUCUUUAAAUCUUGUUUCAAAAGGUAAAGAUUAAUAAAUUUAUAUCAAUAUCAAUACAAUUGUCAGUAUUAUUUAAGAAAAUUGGAAGGGGCAUCUGUGUCCAUGUGGUUAAGGUGGAUGACUCCAAACCACUUGUCUCUCACUGCUGUAGGUUCUAGAUGUGCUAGUGUCUUUGGAUUCUUUCAUGUGAGAAAGCUAUCCAGCUAGCUU